UACGAAGGGGGCUAGCGUUGCUCGGAAUCACUGGGCGUAAGGGUGCGUAGGCGGGUCUUUAAGUCAGGGGUGAAAUCCUGGGAGCUCAACUCCAGAACUGCCUUUGAUACUGAGGAUCUUGAGUUCGGGAGAGGUGAGUGGAACUGCGAGUGUAGAGGUGAAAUUCGUAGAUAUUCGCAAGAACACCAGUGGCGAAGGCGGCUCACUGGCCCGAUACUGACGCUGAGGCACGAAAGCGUGGGGAGCAAACAGGG
rnacentral:rRNA from 1 species